rnacentral:rRNA from 1 species
GUGGGGAAUUUUGGACAAUGGGCGCAAGCCUGAUCCAGCAAUGCCGCGUGCAGGAAGAAGGCCUUCGGGUUGUAAACUGCUUUUGUACGGAACGAAACGGUCCGGGUUAAUACCCUGGGCUAAUGACGGUACCGUAAGAAUAAGCACCGGCUAACUACGUGCCAGCAGCCGCGGUAAUACGGAGGGUGCAAGCGUGAAUCGGAAUUACUGGGCGUAAAGCGUGCGCAGGCGGUUUUGUAAUACAGGCGUGAAAUCCCCGGGCUCAACCUGGGAAUUGCGCUUGUGACUGCAAGGCUGGAGUGCGGCAGAGGGGGAUGGAAUUCCGCGUGUAGCAGUGAAAUGCGUAGAUAUGCGGAGGAACACCGAUGGCGAAGGCAAUCCCCUGGGCCUGCACUGACGCUCAUGCACGAAAGCGUGGGGAGCAAACAGGAUUAGAUACCCCUGUAGUCC